rnacentral:rRNA from 1 species
UACGAAGGGGGGCUAGCGUUGCUCGGAAUGACUGGGCGUAAAGGGCGCGUAGGCGGUUCGUACAGUCAGGCGUGAAAUUCCCGGGCUUAACCGUGGGGGCUGCGUUUGAUACGUGCGGGCUUGAGUUCGGAAGAGGGUCGUGGAAUUCCCAGUGUAGAGGUGAAAUUCGUAGAUGAUUGGGAAGGAACACCGGUGGCGAAGGCGGCGACCUGGUCCGAUACUGACGCUGAGGCGCGAAGCGUGGGGAGCAACAGGAUAGAAACCCCU